GUGGCUGGAUCACCUCCUUUCUAAGGAAGAUGUUUAGUAUUGUUAGAUUUAUUUAAUGAUCUGAGCAUUUUUUAAAGAAUUAGAGCGAUAAGCUCAAGAAAAGGAUUUGUUAAUUUUAGCAAGUUCUAAGGGAUCGCCGUCCAUGUUUCUCUUUCUUUUUGAAUAAUUUUGCGAUUGAUGGGGUCAUUUGAGUUUAUGUUAAGGGCCCAUAGCUCAGGCGGUUAGAGUGCACCCCUGAUAAGGGUGAGGUCGG
rnacentral:misc_RNA from 1 species